rnacentral:lncRNA from 1 species
UUAAUUCGGUACAGUACAGAAAAUUCUACACCUACGUAUACUCGCCUCUCCAGAACUUUGUCUUUGGAUUACCUUAGUUUUUUGUCUAUGAAUUUCGGACUUAAGUUGCCGUGUCUGCUCGAUUGAACGAUCUUCUUUUUGUUUUUUCUGUUGGGUUUCUCUGAAGAACAGAGCCUUUGCUAAUUAGGGGUUAUAGUGACUGCUUCUUCAGAAGUUCUUUGUCGAAUUCUCUACUUACUUGAAGGUAAUUAUUUUAUGUAAGAGUCAUCCUAUAAAAUAAUUUUCUUCACUGAUUUCUGGUUUUCUAAAAUUAAUAGAUUUAACUACAGUAAUCAUCCAUGUUUAGUUAAUGGUUUCGAUCAUUUUUUGAAUUUCUUGAUUUAGUCCAUCUAAAGAUGAUGUCUUUAUGCGUUUUUUUUUAUCUUUUCCUUUUUGCUAAGUCUCCCGAAAUAUUUUUCAAUUUUAGCAAUGAUUAUGUUUUUAUGCGCUUUUUUAUCUUUUCCUUUUUGCUAAGUUUCCCAAAAUAUUUUUCAGUUUUAGUUAUUAAGACUUAGAUUGUAUCUUUUGAUAUGCCAUUUUCCCCUUUUAGUUGAGUUUUCCAAGUUAUUUUCCAGUAUCAGUUUACUUAGCUUUUAAUUUAGCAAUUAUACGUGCCAAUAGUUAGUGCUGGCUUCUGAAGGUAUAAAAUUACUACCAAUGUCUUUUCUUCUCUAGGUGUUUGAAUAAAUUCUUCAAUGAAUUACCAUUUCUAUUAAAUUUGUUAUGCAUAUUU